GGGUGGUUAGCUCAGUGGUAGAGCACUGCCUUCACACGGCAGGGGUCACAGGUUCGAACCCUGUACCACCCACCA
rnacentral:tRNA from 2 species